GACGUAGGGCGCGAGCGUUGUCCGGAUUUAUUGGGCGUAAAGAGCUCGUAGGCGGCUUGUCGCGUCGACCGUGAAAACUUGGGGCUCAACCCCAAGCCUGCGGUCGAUACGGGCAGGCUCGAGUUCGGUAGGGGAGACUGGAAUUCCUGGUGUAGCGGUGAAAUGCGCAGAUAUCAGGAGGAACACCGAUGGCGAAGGCAGCUCGCUGGGACGUUACUGACGCUGAGACGCGAAAGCGUGGGGAGCAAACAGG
rnacentral:rRNA from 1 species